rnacentral:rRNA from 1 species
AGAGUUUGAUCCUGGCUCAGGAUGAACGCUGGCGGUAUGCCUAACACAUGCAAGUCGUACGAGAGUUUUUAACUCUAGUGGCGGACGGNUGAGUAACACGUAAGAAUUUACCUUCAGGAGGGGGAUAACAAUUGGAAACAAAUGCUAAUACCCCAUAUGCUUUCGAGUGAAAUGGAUUUAUAUUUAUCCNCCUAAAGGGAAGCUUGCGUCUGAUUAGCUUGUUGGUAAGGUAAAAGCUUACCAAGGCGACGAUCAGUAUCUGGUUUGAGAGGACGAUCAGACACACUGGAACUNNCNCNCGGUCCAGACUCCUACGGGAGGCAGCAGUGGGGAAUUUUCCGCAAUGGGNGAAAGCCUGACGGAGCAAUACCGCGUGAGGGAAGACUGCCUAUGGGUUGUAAACCUCUUUUUUCAGGGAGGAACAAAAUGA